AUUUUAUGAUGAUUUCAAAUAAUCACCAUCUUUCGACUGAAAAGUUGUGAUGUUAAAUAUUUGUUACUGAUAUUUUAA